UUUUUAUGGAGAGUUUGAUCCUGGCUCAGGAUGAACGCUGGCGGCGUGCCUAAUACAUGCAAGUCGAGCGAACGGACGAGAAGCUUGCUUCUCUGAUGUUAGCGGCGGACGGGUGAGUAACACGUGGAUAACCUACCUAUAAGACUGGGAUAACUUCGGGAAACCGGAGCUAAUACCGGAUAAUAUUUUGAACCGCAUGGUUCAAAAGUGAAAGACGGUCUUGCUGUCACUUAUAGAUGGAUCCGCGCUGCAUUAGCUAGUUGGUAAGGUAACGGCUUACCAAGGCAACGAUGCAUAGCCGACCUGAGAGGGUGAUCGGCCACACUGGAACUGAGACACGGUCCAGACUCCUACGGGAGGCAGCAGUAGGGAAUCUUCCGCAAUGGGCGAAAGCCUGACGGAGCAACGCCGCGUGAGUGAUGAAGGUCUUCGGAUCGUAAAACUCUGUUAUUAGGGAAGAACAUAUGUGUAAGUAACUGUGCACAUCUUGACGGUACCUAAUCAGAAAGCCACGGCUAACUACGUGCCAGCAGCCGCGGUAAUACGUAGGUGGCAAGCGUUAUCCGGAAUUAUUGGGCGUAAAGCGCGCGUAGGCGGUUUUUUAAGUCUGAUGUGAAAGCCCACGGCUCAACCGUGGAGGGUCAUUGGAAACUGGAAAACUUGAGUGCAGAAGAGGAAAGUGGAAUUCCAUGUGUAGCGGUGAAAUGCGCAGAGAUAUGGAGGAACACCAGUGGCGAAGGCGACUUUCUGGUCUGUAACUGACGCUGAUGUGCGAAAGCGUGGGGAUCAAACAGGAUUAGAUACCCUGGUAGUCCACGCCGUAAACGAUGAGUGCUAAGUGUUAGGGGGUUUCCGCCCCUUAGUGCUGCAGCUAACGCAUUAAGCACUCCGCCUGGGGAGUACGACCGCAAGGUUGAAACUCAAAGGAAUUGACGGGGACCCGCACAAGCGGUGGAGCAUGUGGUUUAAUUCGAAGCAACGCGAAGAACCUUACCAAAUCUUGACAUCCUUUGACAACUCUAGAGAUAGAGCCUUCCCCUUCGGGGGACAAAGUGACAGGUGGUGCAUGGUUGUCGUCAGCUCGUGUCGUGAGAUGUUGGGUUAAGUCCCGCAACGAGCGCAACCCUUAAGCUUAGUUGCCAUCAUUAAGUUGGGCACUCUAAGUUGACUGCCGGUGACAAACCGGAGGAAGGUGGGGAUGACGUCAAAUCAUCAUGCCCCUUAUGAUUUGGGCUACACACGUGCUACAAUGGACAAUACAAAGGGCAGCGAAACCGCGAGGUCAAGCAAAUCCCAUAAAGUUGUUCUCAGUUCGGAUUGUAGUCUGCAACUCGACUACAUGAAGCUGGAAUCGCUAGUAAUCGUAGAUCAGCAUGCUACGGUGAAUACGUUCCCGGGUCUUGUACACACCGCCCGUCACACCACGAGAGUUUGUAACACCCGAAGCCGGUGGAGUAACCUUUUAGGAGCUAGCCGUCGAAGGUGGGACAAAUGAUUGGGGUGAAGUCGUAACAAGGUAGCCGUAUCGGAAGGUGCGGCUGGAUCACCUCCUUUCU
rnacentral:rRNA from 18 species